rnacentral:rRNA from 1 species
AUUGAACGCUGGCGGCAGGCCUAACACAUGCAAGUCGAACGGUAACAGGAAGCAGCUUGCUGCCUCGCUGACGAGUGGCGGACGGGUGAGUAAUGUCUGGGAAACUGCCUGAUGGAGGGGGAUAACUACUGGAAACGGUAGCUAAUACCGCAUAACGUCGCAAGACCAAAGAGGGGGACCUUAGGGCCUCUUGCCAUUGGAUGUGCCCAUAUGGGAUUAGCUAGUAGGUGGGGUAACGGCUCACCUAGGCGACGAUCCCUAGCUGGUCUGAGAGGAUGACCAGCCACACUGGAACUGAGACACGGUCCAGACUCCUACGGGAGGCAGCAGUGGGGAAUAUUGCACAAUGGGCGCAAGCCUGAUGCAGCCAUGCCGCGUGUAUGAAGAAGGCCUUCGGGUUGUAAAGUACUUUCAGCGGGGAGGAAGGGAGUAAAGUUAAUACCUUUGCUCAUUGACGUUACCCGCAGAAGAAGCACCGGCUAACUCCGUG